rnacentral:rRNA from 1 species
UACGUAGGGUGCGAGCGUUAAUCGGAAUUACUGGGCGUAAAGCGUGCGCAGGCGGUUUUGUAAGCCAGAUGUGAAAUCCCCGGGCUUAACCUGGGAAUGGCAUUUGGGACUGCAAGGCUUGAGUGCGGCAGAGGAGACUGGAAUUCCUGGUGUAGCAGUGAAAUGCGUAGAUAUCAGGAGGAAUACCGAUGGCGAAGGCAGGUCUCAGGGCUGACACUGACGCUCAUGCACGAAAGCGUGGGGAGCAAACAGG